CAGUGCAUGCCGAAUUAAGGUGAAACCGCGAAUGGCUCACUAAAUCAGUUAUGGUUCAUUGGAUUGUACCAACAUUUAUUUGGAUAAUUGUGGUAAUUCUAGAGCUAAUACAUGCAAAACAGAGUCCCGACCAGUGAUGGGAGGGACGCUUUUAUUAGAUCAAAACCAAUCGGUGGCGCGCGGUCCCCGUGCGUCCGCCGUUUAUCCUGGUGACUCUGAAUAACUUUGAGCUGAUCGCACGGUCCUCGUACCGGCGACGCAUCUUUCAAAUGUCUGCCUUAUCAACUUUCGAUGGUAGGUUCUGCGCCUACCAUGGUUGUAACGGGUAACGGGGAAUCAGGGUUCGAUUCCGGAGAGGGAGCCUGAGAAACGGCUACCACAUCCAAGGAAGGCAGCAGGCGCGCAAAUUACCCACUCCCGGCACGGGAAGGUAGCGACGAAAAAUAACGAUACGGGACUCAUCCGAGGCCCCGU
rnacentral:ncRNA from 1 species